GGUUUCAUAGUGUAGUGGUUAUCACGUCUGCUUUACACACGGAAGGUCCUUGGUUCGAUCCCCAGUGAAGCCA
rnacentral:tRNA from 1 species